rnacentral:pre_miRNA from 8 species
ACUUGGUGUACAUACUUCUUUAUGUGCCCAUAUGAACAUAUAAAAGCUAUGGAAUGUAAAGAAGUAUGUAUUCUUGGU